GGCAUCGUUCUGCUGCUACACCUUGCCUCCCUGGAGCUGAAAAUUGAAUCUGUUUGUCAGCAUUGGAACCAACCUUCAGAUGGUGUAGAGAAAGUACCAGCAAACUGAAGUGCCAUUGUGAGGUUGACAUAUAUGGACCUGGGACCUGACAGUGGCUUUGCUGCAAGGUGUACAGUUUGCUCCUGUGACCUCUCUGGACUGCGGUGGUUGGUGAACACACAACCAAAGACAAAUCCUAGAGCUGCAACUAUAUUUUAUAAAUGGCCCUCGUUUGGUUCCUGCAUAACAAAUAGUGUCCUCUCAUUGAUGGGGACUGUUUCAUGCGCCUGCCUUUUUGGAGAAAGAAAACAACUUCUAGUCUCAGGCUUGUAUGAAUCCAGCACUGUCUUUCACAACUUGUUUUCGCCUCAGCGACUUGACAUGGCUCCCUAUCCAUCGCCGGUCCCCACGCUCCACGGUAACGAGAUUUUAAAAACUGUCCAUUUGGCUCCUUCCUGAGGUUUUACUCAUUUUGAAACUUUGCCACGCUGGCUGGCAUGUUUCACAUUUGCUUAUCUCUGAGCUUACUCCCAAGAGCUGCUGAACUUUCCCUUCCAUGUCACUAAGCUGGGACAGAGUGAAGACGGAGAGGAAAGAGUUACUGUCUCACAAGCUGUGACUUUGUCUGUCCAGAGUGGCCCUUGGAUGCAGCUCAUUAUUUGUGGAAAUAGUGUGUGCCACGGGCAAAAAUAACUUUUUAAAAAAAGCACAUCUCUGUACCCUCCUGAAGUCAUCUCAAAAUGAAGUCAAGAUUUCUCAUGAAACGGAGAGAGCUUUAUCAUGGCCCGAGUGGGUCCUUGAGUACUUGUCCCCGCCACAUUGUCUGCUCUGAGCAACCUGAGGGUCCAGACCAAGCUAAAAGAGGCUUCAUGAUGAGGUAAUGAGAAGGGUGGGAAGCAGGUUUUCUAUUUGGAGCCACAGGACCAUGGGAAAAAUCUCACUCGAGGACCAUAAACAACCAAAAAGAAACAAUGGAAAGAGAAAAAUAUGGGACCUUUCCCUUACCUGAUUUCAUUUUAUUUUAUUUUAUUUAUGGCCACACCCACGCAAGGAAGAUCCUGGGCCAGGGAUUGUGACUUAUGCCACGGCCGUGGCAAUGCCAGAUCCUUUAACUCAUAGCGCCAGGCCAGGGAUCGAACCCCGAACCUCCUCCACAGCAACCCGAGCCACUGCAGUCAAAUUCUUAAGAUUCCUAACACACUGCACCACAGCAGGAAAUCCUAGCCUGGUUUUAAAUUAAGCACAGGGAGUUCCCGUCAUGGCUUAGUGGUCAA
rnacentral:lncRNA from 1 species